UACGUACCGGACAAACGUUAUUCGGAAUUACUGGGCUUAAAGAGUGCGUAGGCGGUCCUCCAGGUGGGGUGUGAAAUCCCACGGCUCAACCGUGGAAUUGCGCUCCAAACCGGUGGACUUGAGGAAGACAGGGGUGAGCGGAACUGAUGGUGGAGCGGUGAAAUGCGUUGAUAUCAUCAGGAACACCGGUGGCGAAGGCGGCUCACUGGGUCUUUACUGACGCUGAGGCACGAAAGCUAGGGGAGCGAACGGGAUUAGAUACCCCUGUA
rnacentral:rRNA from 1 species